GACGAACGCUGGCGGCGUGCCUAAUACAUGCAAGUUGAGCGCUGAAGGUUGGUACUUGUUCCAACUGGAUGAGCAGCGAACGGGUGAGUAACGCGUGGGUAAUCUGCCUUUGAGCGGGGGACAACAUUUGGAAACGAAUGCUAAUACCGCAUAACAACUUUAAACACAAGUUUUAAGUUUGAAAGAUGCAAUUGCAUCACUCAAAGAUGAACCCGCGUUGUAUUAGCUAGUUGGUGAGGUAAAGGCUCACCAAGGCGAGGAUACAUAGCCGACCUGAGAGGGUGAUCGGCCACAUUGGGACUGAGACACGGCCCAAACUCCUACGGGAGGCAGCAGUAGGGAAUCUUCGGCAAUGGACGAAAGUCUGACCGAGCAACGCCGCGUGAGUGAAGAAGGUUUUCGGAUCGUAAAACUCUGUUGGUAGAGAAGAACGUUGGUGAGAGUGGAAAGCUCAUCAAGUGACGGUAACUACCCAGAAAGGGACGGCUAACUACGUG
rnacentral:rRNA from 1 species